UACAGAGGUCUCAAGCGUUGUUCGGAUUCAUUGGGCGUAAAGGGUGCGUAGGCGGCGCGGUAAGUCGGGUGUGAAAUCUCGGGGCUUAACUCCGAAACUGCAUUCGAUACUGGCGUGCUUGAGGACUGGAGAGGAGACUGGAAUUCAUGGUGUAGCAGUGAAAUGCGUAGAGAUCAUGAGGAAGACCAGUGGCGAAGGCGGGUCUCUGGACAGUUCCUGACACUGAGGCACGAAGGCCAGGGGAGCAAACGGG
rnacentral:rRNA from 1 species